rnacentral:lncRNA from 10 species
CUCGGCCUCCCAAAGUGCUGGGAUUAUAGGCAUGAGCCACCGCACCCGGCCAACAUUUACUUUUCUAUAGGUAUUAUAUUUCUAGUUUAAAAAGAAGGUUAGAAAGAGAAAAACCAAAACUUUUAUUAAUCUUUAUUUUAAAACAUAACCAGAUGCACCUUGGUUGUUUACAUUCUCUGGUUGCCAUUCAGUCUCAAAGUAAACACCGGGAGCAUAUGAUAAAUCGUAGUUUAAGGAAGCCAUAGCACUUACAGAGUUCUCGAAUGGUUACAAUAUAAAAUCUGUCAUAAAAAUCAGUAAAAGAUGCAAGGUAGAACACAGUUUAACACUGGUACAAUGGCAGUAGCAGCUUUGCAAAUGUUUGUCUAUAUGAUUUCCACAGGACUUUUUUUUUUUUGCCUGGCCUCAUUAUGUAGCAAAGCAUUUUUUCUUUUCUUUUUGAGAUGGAGUCUUGCUCUGUUACCCAGCAGGCUGGAGUGCAGUGGUAUAAACACAGCUCACUGCAGCCUCAACCUCCCAGGCUCAAGUGAUUCUCCCACCUCAGUCUCCUGAGUAGCUGGGACUACAGGCACACAUCACCGCUCCCGGCUAAUUUUUCGUUUUUUGUAGAGUUGGGGUCUUGCAAUGUUGCCCAGGCUUGUUUUGAACUCUUGGCCUCAAGCAAUCCUCCUGCCUUAGCCUCCCAAAGUGCUAGGAUUAUAGGUGUGAGCCACUGCAC